rnacentral:tRNA from 1 species
AAAAAGAUAAGCUAAUCUUAAGCUAUUGGGCUCAUACCCCGCUUAUAAAGGUUUUAUUCCUUUUCUUUUUA